rnacentral:rRNA from 1 species
UACGUAGGGUGCGAGCGUUAAUCGGAAUUACUGGGCGUAAAGCGUGCGCAGGCGGUUCGUCGUGUCCGAUGUGAAAGCCCCGGGCUCAACCUGGGAAUGGCAUUGGAAACUGGCGGACUCGAGUGUGGCAGAGGGGGGUGGAAUUCCGCGUGUAGCAGUGAAACGCGUAGAGAUGCGGAGGAACACCGAUGGCGAAGGCAGCCCCCUGGGCUAACACUGACGCUCAGGCACGAAAGCGUGGGGAGCAAACAGG